rnacentral:rRNA from 1 species
GAUGAACGCUGGCGGCGUGCCUAAUACAUGCAAGUCGAGCGAACAGAUGAGGAGCUUGCUCCUCUGACGUUAGCGGCGGACGGGUGAGUAACACGUGGAUAACCUACCUAUAAGACUGGGAUAACUUCGGGAAGCCGGAGCUAAUACCGGAUAAUAUAUUGAACCGCAUGGUUCAAUAGUGAAAGACGGUUUUGCUGUCACUUAUAGAUGGAUCCGCGCCGCAUUAGCUAGUUGGUAAGGUAACGGCUUACCAAGGCAACGAUGCGUAGCCGACCUGAGAGGGUGAUCGGCCACACUGGAACUGAGACACGGUCCAGACUCCUACGGGAGGCAGCAGUAGGGAAUCUUCCGCAAAGGGCGAAAGCCUGACGGAGCAACGCCGCGUGAGUGAUGAAGGUCUUCGGAUCGUAAAACUCUGUUAUUAGGGAAGAACAAAUGUGUAAGUAACUAUGCACGUCUUGACGGUACCUAAUCAGAAAGCCACGGCUAACUACGUG